rnacentral:rRNA from 1 species
UACGUAGGCAGCGAGCGUUGUUCGGAGUUACUGGGCGUAAAGGGUGUGUAGGCGGUUGUUUAAGUUUGGUGUGAAAUCUCCCGGCUCAACUGGGAGGGUGCGCCGAAUACUGAAUGACUCGAGUGUGGGAGAGGUGAGUGGAAUUCCUGGUGUAGCGGUGAAAUGCGUAGAUAUCAGGAGGAACACCGGUGGUGUAGACGGCUUUCUGGACCGUAACUGACGCUGAGACACGAAAGCGUGGGUAGCAAACAGG